CAGCUACCGGGAUUUGUAACGAUCUGGGCCUGGCCAGCCCGGAUCCUCCCUUAUCCCACGAGAAGAACAGCACGUCUUACAGGGACACAGAGACCCUCCAUGUGAGCUACUGUCCUGGGAACGCUGGUCGUACCAAGGGAAGCCCUUUGGCAGGCAUGCAGCCUUUGUUCCUCUGCCUGCUUAAGCAAGCUUCUCUUAGGGGCCGGUUGCGGGUGCACACUUCUGUCCAGCCGGCCGCUACUGGACACGCAAGUGGAAAGGGAGUUUCAGCAUCAUUGAAUGACUUUCUUUUGGUCAUAGAAUUAAUAUGGAACAGAAAAACAGCUUAACGUCUCCUGACACCAAAGCCCAUGCUCAAUUCAUUAAUCCUUGUUGGAUCCAGACAGGAGAAGAGGGCUCAUUGCCAGCAUCGCGACAGCUUCCCUAACUGAUUUCAUGACACCUCUGAAAAAGGCAAAAUGCUGUGCUGCCACUUAAACAAAGCUAUGGCCAGACCGUGUGGUGAAGGCAAAGUCCAGGAUGUGAUGAGAGCCUUCUCUUCGGCCACUCCUUCGAGUCAAGUAUGUGCAGCCUUUUCUGGGAAGAGGAGGUGCAUAUCACACCUUUCCCACAGGUCCAUUGCCCACUUCCUCAGCGACCACACCAUUGCAUGACAGGCUGAAUUUAGCCGGUAAGAAGCCAGAUGUCCUGCGGCCAGAUGCUUCUUUAAAGGAAAAUUAAACCCUUUAAAAAGAGUGACCUGCAGUAGCUCCAACCUGCCGGCAGCGCCCCUUGGCUCAGGUCCCUCGCGCUCCUGGACUCACCUGGUGCUGAGGACCAGCGCCGGCAGCAGAGGCGGCAGGUACAGCGCCGGGCUGAACUGCAUGCUGUCGCCUGCCGGGGCCUCCUUCCCUCGCUGCCUCAAUCUCUUGCCUCCUCUGGAUUCGGUCACUUUUUGGUGCUCGGUUCUGUCCCAGGCCGGCGAUGAGUCCUCUCCAGGGCGGACAGACAAACGGACUAACCGACCGACGUCUCACAAAACCAGGAGCUGGGAGCGUGGAAUCAGCUCUAGGACUGAUGCCCCCUAGAGGCGAGCCCUGCCCAGGGUCGUCCGACGCCGCCGCUCCCGAGCCCGGAGGGCGCGUUGUCACUCGCGCUGGAGGCGGCGCGGGGAGAGGGAGGGGGCGCCCAGCGAGGGCCCCGCGCGCUCGGGUCACCGGGCUGCGCUCUGGUCCACAGCUGCACACCCGCCCGAGGCUGAUCAUUUAUCCUGCUUCUCCCGAGGUGAGCGGGACCCGGUCGAGGACAGAAAUCUAAUCCUCCAGUGUUGAACCGGCGUGCUCAGCAGGAGGUGAGAUGCCUGCCACAGCAUGGCUUGACUCACAGAACGAGAAAGACAAGCAUCGGAGUUGAGACCCAUGAAGGACGGCCCGAAUGUUUAGCCGGAAAUAGAUUUGCCCUCACACACAGGAAAGCCCAGCUUCCAGUGACCUCAAGUUUUGAUUGGACUAAGAUGAAUCAGGAUUUCAUGUGACUCUUCAAACUUAAAUCAGGUAUAUUAUCUCUGUAGUUCUCAAAUUAUCUCUCUAUAUUUUUCAUAUUUAAUGUUCAAUGCCAAAAGAGAGGACAAAAAAAAAUACCCAAACAAAUCAAACAAACCCACAGACUAUUCAGAUAAUGGAAUUACCGUGCAACCUUUAAAGUCACUAGGUCUGAGAGUUAAAAGAAAAUUUUAAAACACUGGAGAAUUAUGUCAGAUGACAGUAAACUAUUUAAAAAGAACCAACAUAAGAAGCAAAUCUUGAGAGCGCCAUGCCAUGAGAAGGCCACAGUACUUCGAGAGGCCACCUGGAGGUACCUCCACCAGCAGUCUGGGAGUUACCCCAACCCAAGGACAGCUGUGGCAGCAAGUGAAUCUUCACAUGACGAAGUCACGGUAGUCUUUGAUUCUCCUCAGGUGACAGCCCAGAGCCGAAAUAAACCAUCUCCAUUGUGUUGGAAUUCCCGGGCCACAGAAACUGUGAGACUAAAAGAAAGAAAAUUUUUUUAAGUUGUUUUAAACGACUGUGUUUUGGAGAAAUUUGUUCUGUGGCAAUAGUAACUAGAAUACUAUUAAACUUGAAGAUUAUUAUACCUAACAAUUUAACAACUUUAUCACCAGAAAGAGUCAUACCUGUGCACACAGAGACAUAUAAUAAUGGCCAUUGUAGUGUCUUCAUAAAAGUGAAAAAUAUAGAAAACAAAGGAUGCAGCAAUGGGAGAAUCGAUACCAAAUUGGUGGUACAUAUGUGCGAUAAUUUACCAUUAAUAGGAUCAUAAGAUAAAGCUCUAGGUGUCUGCAUGUUUCAACUUGGAAUAAAAAUGGCCAAGAAGAUGCAGCAGAAUUGGGUGGCACUGUAGUUUUCCUCAUUGGAUGACACCUUUUCUUUGGACUCCACUUUUUACUUCAGGGCAAUAAGGUUUUUGUUGGUUUGUUUGUUUCUAGAUGAUUAUGGCGAUAACUUUCAGCUUAAAAAUGUUCAUAACUCUAUAUUACAGUCUUAGCUCAACUCUGUACAGAACUCUAAACCAAUAUUAAUGUCUAUUUUCUACUUAUUCAACUUGAAAUUUACAAAUGUGUAUUCUUUAAGCAAGAAAAGAAGGACAACUCUAGAUAGACAUUCAAUAAAAAAAAAUCACUAAAAACAAAGUCUUUGUGAACUAACAGCAGACUGGCACAACCUUUGGCUUCCAGGCUUAUUGUGUCUGUGAAGUCCUGGAUCUUCAUUCAUUGUGCUCUUACUAAUUACACUGAGUUCAAGUCAAUCAAGUGCAAUCCCAUAGUGACCUCAGUGGUUACUGUUUUUUUUUUUUUUUUGAGGAAGACUGGCCCUGAGCUAACAUCUGUGUUCGUCUUCCUCUACUUUAUAUGUGGGACUCCUACCACAGCAUGGCUUGACCAACCGUGCCAUGUCCACACCCGGGAUCCGAACCGGUGAGCCCUGGGGCCACCGAAGCAGAACAUGCGCACUUAACUGCUGUGCCACUGGGCAGCCCCUCAGUGGUUGCUCUUAAUUGUGAACUUUGCAGAAGUACAUCUCCCACUGGAAAUGGAGAGGGUAGGGGCUGGCCCCGUGGCCAAGUGGUUAAGUUUGCGUGCUCUGCUUUGGCAGCUCAGGGUUUCACUGGUUCGGAUCCUGGGCACAGACACAGCCCCGCUCAUCAGGCUAUGCUGAGGUGGCGUCCCACAUAACAGAACCAGAGGGACCUACAACUGGGAUGCACAGCUGUGUACUGGGGGACUUUGGGGACAAGAAAGGGGAAAAAAGAAACGCCAACCUUUAAAAAAUAAAAAGGAAUGGAGAGGAUAAAAGGAUAUCUUAUUAUUAAAAUAACAAUAAUGUACUUUUCAGUGUAGAAAGUACAAGGACUAAGGGAAGAAGACGUUUUCUGUAGGACUUUCUUGUUUUUGUAACUAACCUACUUUUACUUGCAAUUGUUUGAUACUGGGUGCAAUUAACUAAUUUGAGUGUUAGAUCCUUCACAUUGGCAUCAGAAAACAAUAGCAGGCAGAGAAAGCUCCCCCAUGAAUGUAAUAUUCAGCUGCCAAACAUUUUGAAAGUCAGCUUUUAAAGUCGUAUCAACUAGAUAAAUUCGACUGACAGUAUUUUUUUUCCUUACACUUUAAAUUUCUCCUCUGGAAAAUAGCAAUUAGUGUUCUCGGGCAUCAUGACAUUAUCGACUCACUAAGUGUAGAUCUGGUGUACUAAAGUUCUAGGAAUGGCAGAAUUUGCUUUUCAUGUCUGACUGGACUCACAUAUUCCAAGAAAAUAAUAUCAGAAUUAAAAUAACGGUGCAUAAUAUUAAUAUGAAUUUGAAUGUAUUGAAUUUCCAAAAAUAUAGUGUCACACUCUAGGAGUCUUGGAAAGUGCAGAUGUUUGUGUCUAGAGCUUAAUCAUGUCUGAUCCAUCCUUGUUAUUCUUUUGGCUGGACUUGCUGUACAAAGAUAAUGUUCGUGAUGGGAUUGUUAAAAAGGAGAAGAAUUUUCCUAGCUGUUGUUGUCUAAAAAUGUAGCUAAUGCUUUCUUAUGUUUGAGGAAAAGCUCAAUAAUGACAAUCAUUGAUUGUGGACUACGAAGAGCUCUUGGUUGGAGGUCAAAGGAGUGUAUAUUGUUACUACAUAAACCCUGUGUCGCUUCUUUAUCUCUAAAAGGGAGAAAAAAUCAUGAUAGUUGACAGCUUCCUUCUGAAACUAUACUAUUUAUAAUUAAAAUCAAGAGUGCAAACAGAUUCUUUACAAGUUGUUGUUGUUGCUGUUUUUAAUUUGCAAAACUCUGCAAAACAGACAAGCUUUGUGUUUCUAUAUUUGCACAAAAUGUGUUAUGAGCCCCACGGUAAUGGUGUUGUUUAACCUAAUGUAAUGCUCUGCCAGUGAUGAGGACAAAGCCAUCUUAAUGGGGGUGGUAGUGAGAGUGGAUUUACGCGAAGGACAUCUCCAAUCAUUGCUGCUGUCCAUCAUCCGGGGAAGAGGUUCUGUUUCAUACCUAAUAACACACCUGAGGAAACAAAUCUGAAGCUUAGACGGGGACAGGGGUUGGGAAUUCAUUACAUGGGGGAAGCUUUUUCCUCCCCUGAGAUGACCCCAGAAUGGGAUAUGGCUAGUGAGCAAGAUAGCUGGGAUAAGAUCAUAAAUCUUUAUUAUAUCAAUAAUAAUAUGCUUCCUUGUGACACAUUGCAAUCUUUGGCAUCUCAUGAAAUAUUUCUGAUAGAUGCCAUUCCCACUAUGCCUCCUAAUGCUCACUAACCAGGGAAGUUAUGGAAAUGCAAAUUACAGAAAGAGCAUCAACGACAGUGUGAGCAGGGACUCAAAGUACACACCGCGAUGUCAACUCUCUUCCCUACCACAACGUUUCCCCCUUCCCCUCACAUAAAAACUGAAGACACUUAUAUAUAUACAUUUUUAUUUACUUUUAUAUUCAUAUAAUUUCCAUAAUCUGAACAUCGUUUCUUCAUUAAAGGAAAGAAUUAGACUAGUCAGUGAGUUCCAAACACUUAUUUUCAACAGAAGAAACCUUUAUUGAAUAAAUGCGUAUAUAGAAUCCCCAUGUAAAACAUAAAAGUAAAGUUGUUUUCUUUGAAUCAUAUGUGAAAGCAAUGAGGCUGGAUUUGUACCGUUAAAGAAACAGAAUCAGUAGCAAAAUCUAAUACAAACAAAAUCUCAUGUUCCAAGAAUUUCACAGGGAAAUUUUUCUGUAUGUUCGGGGAACAGAAGGCCCUAGUUUAUAGUCAGAUGAUAUGAAAGAAAGCAGGCUCUCAAACAUGUUUUAUGAAACUUAUAAACCAUUAUAUCAACUCGCCCCCUGAGAGAACGAUGCAAGAAAGUAAGAUUAUAGAUAAAUAACAUUUUGAGGUUAAAUGCAAAAAUCCUAACUAAAAUGCUAUAAACAGAAUUUUAUGGCCUUAUACACACAAGCACACACACAUACACAAAUUAUGGUUUAUCUAAAGAUCAAAAACUUUGAUAAAUAAAAUCUUGGUAAAAAUUAGGGAAAUGGUGAAACAGGUGCUCUUGAUAAGGUUUGUGUGUGUAUAAUUAGUAAAAUAACUAUGUAGGAGAAUUUGUCAACACAAAUUGCAAUUUCAAAUGCACUGCACACAGGCCUAAUGACCACGGCUAUCUGAUGAAUGUCCCUACAUGUGUGAACUCAAGUAACUAAGGAUAUUCAAUGCAAUGUGAUUGUAGUAGUGAAAAAUUGGAAGCCAUCUAAAUAUCAUCCAGUAGCAGUUGUCAAGUAAAUUAUGAAAAAUAUGUCUAAUGGAAUUUUAUACAAGAAAUACAGAUAUCUAUUCAGCUUCAGUGAACCACGUGCAAUUUCCCAAGCCCACUGGAACCCACAUAAGAUACCCUGUAACAUUCAAUUUAAGAACUUCAACUCCAACGUGGCAAAUCUUCCAAGCACGAUUAGCAUUAAUUAUUUAACAUGAUUAGUGUCUAUAGUAUGCUAUAAUUUUAAUGAGGCUGAGAUUGAGGCUAGGUUCAUU
rnacentral:lncRNA from 1 species